UCUCGCAUCGAUAGAAGAACGCAGCGAAAUGCGAUAAGUAAUGUGAAUUGCAGAAUUCAGUGAAUCAUCGAAUCUUUGAACGCACCUUGCGCUCCUUGGUAUUCCUUGGAGCAUG
rnacentral:rRNA from 1 species